rnacentral:lncRNA from 1 species
UUAAAAGGAAACUGAGGGAGAAUACCUUGCAGGUAUGACCUCUAGGGCAAGUAUGUAGGGAGGGCAAAGAAAGUGCUUAAUGAGGAUGCUCCCAGGCUCUAAAUGAUGGGGAACCGUAAAGGCUAGUGAGGAGGGCAGGGUCAUGCAUCUUUACAUCUCCUGCCAUUUUUAGGGGAAAUGAUGAAAUGAGACUUUCAUCCUUGAUGGAAACAGGCCUUCUUGUGGGAUAAGUAUUGAAUUUAGUUCAGGACAGUGUCCUAAGGCUGGGUUCUUUGGUUGGCAACAGAUUAUACAACCAGGUGACUUUGAGGUUCACCUACAAUAGAAAAAAACCUCUCCAGACUUUUGGGUUGGGAGGUUUUAGAUCCAAUCCUUGGCAUCUGGUGGUGGCAGUGGUGGUGGGGGUAAUUGACACCCUUUGGCCUUACAUGCUGUUGUCCUUUAUAUGCUUAUUUUUGUGCCCUCUGGGCCAUUAUGUCCAAGUAGGAGUUGGGGUAUUAAGCUGUGGCCUGCGAGUGGAACAAAGCUGAAGGGCUCACAGGAACAAUGAGCGGUGUUUCACAGUAACCAGGAUGGGUGGUGCUAAAAGGCUUUUCGUGCUAUUUCCAUGUGUCUCGAAGGGGUGUGUGGAAUUUGGGGACAUUUUGGUGUUUUAUUAAGAGGGGAAGACAGAAUUUUAAAAUCUCUGUAGCUGUAACUCUGGGCAUGCUAGUUAGUUAUCUUUUUUUUUUUUUUUUUUUUUUUUUAGCUAGUUAUCCUUUGGAACCUCUUCUUGAGAUUCAGGCUUCACCUCCAGUGGGGUGGGUGUAAGGAUCCAGGGAUCCAGGAUCCACUAUGGCAAUGCACAUGACAGAACUGUUUGACACAACUAUAGAGCAACUGUACAACAUCUUCACCACAAAAGAUGUAAGUAACUUCUCAAGCUAGGAUCUUCAGUGCUGACAUGAAGAGAAAAUGUGCCACUAAGAACUAGGGCUGGUUUUUAGUUUCCCAUAUGGCCGCCAUCUUACAAUUUAAUUGAAGGGAUCUAGAAUGGUAGUGAUAGAAGUCUUUAACUCCUAAAAAAUUUAAGAGGGUAAAAGAUGGGCACUUGAGGGAAAUAUAUCCACAUUUAGGGGACCCAUUACUGAGUUUUCUCCUGCUGAAAGAGAGGGAGAGAAAGCUUGUAAGUAAAGGCUUCAGAUUCAGGAUUAAAAAACACAAAACCCAAAUCACAGAAAUUAAUAUUUUGCAUUUAGGUUAAAAAGGUUUAAGACAGGCUGGACUAACAUGUCUGCUGUUUGUUUUGCUUGUUUAGUUGGUGCAACAAUUUUCUAUAUCUCCUGCGGUAUUAGAAGCUGAGAAGGGGGGGAAAUUCCAAAUAUUUGAUGGGAACAUCACUGGUGAAUAUAUAGAAUCGGUAAGUAAUCUUUAGGGUUAAAGUAAGCUGGGACUGACUCUUCUGUUAAUACUGCUUUAUUUUUAUCUUUUUAUUUAAAUAAUUUCUACAUACUCAGUGUGGGUCUUGAAUUCAUGACCUCAAGAGCAAGAGUCCCAUGCUCUUCCAACUGAGCCAGCCAGGCACCCAAAUAUUGCUUUUUAAAAAUCCAUGCUCUUUUUAUCUUGCUUUCGGUUUUUAUCUGGGCUCACGGAAACUUGAGAAUUUUAUAAAAUUGGUUAUAGUAAAAAGUUAUAUAUACUUGGUUGUA